GCCCAGGUGGCGAAAUGGUAGACGCGCUCGUUUCAGGUGCGAGUGCUUUGCGGCGUGUAGGUUCGAGUCCUAUCCUGGGCA
rnacentral:tRNA from 1 species